rnacentral:rRNA from 1 species
AUUGAACGCUGGCGGCAUGCCUUACACAUGCAAGUCGAACGGCAGCACGGGAGCUUGCUCCUGGUGGCGAGUGGCGAACGGGUGAGUAAUGCAUCGGAACGUGCCCUGAAGUGGGGGAUAACGUAGCGAAAGUUACGCUAAUACCGCAUAUUCUGUGAGCAGGAAAGCAGGGGAUCUUCGGACCUUGCGCUUUUGGAGCGGCCGAUGUCGGAUUAGCUAGUUGGUGGGGUAAAGGCUCACCAAGGCAACGAUCCGUAGCGGGUCUGAGAGGAUGAUCCGCCACACUGGAACUGAGACACGGUCCAGACUCCUACGGGAGGCAGCAGUGGGGAAUUUUGGACAAUGGGCGCAAGCCUGAUCCAGCCAUGCCGCGUGAGUGAAGAAGGCCU